GCCUAAAAUCUAGCCCUACUCCACCCGCAUGAACACCUUAACCCUAUGCCCUUCAAACAAAACAUUUUAACAUUUUAGUACAGGCGAUCAAAAAAUUUCUAGGCGCUUCAGAUACAGUACCGCAAGGGAAUGAUGAAAUAAUAAUGAAAUAACUUUAAAGCCCAAUACAGCAGAGACUCACCCUCGUACCUUUUGCAUCAUGGUCUAGCUAGUCCAACCAAGCAAAAAGAAACUUUUAGUUUGACUCCCCGAAACUAAACGAGCUACUUCAAAACAGCCCAAAGGGGCCAACCCGUCUCUGUUGCAAAAGAGUGGGAAGAUUUUUAAGUAGAGGUGAAAAGCCUACCGAGCUUAGAGAUAGCUGGUUGUUCAGGAAAAGAGUUUAAGCUCUACCUUAAGUUUUUACCGUUACCCCAAACACAACCUUAAACUUAAGAGCUAUUCAAAUAAGGCACAGCUUAUUUGAAGCAGGGUACAACCUCAGACACCGGGUAAAUAUGGGUGCACCCAAGUAAAGUGGGCCUAAAAGCAGCCACCUUCUAAAAAGCGUUAAAGCUUAACCACAAGCUUCCCUUAAUUCCUUAAAUUUAUUUUAACCCUUAAUCACUACUGAACUGUUUUAUAUUAAUAUAAAAGUUAUUAUGCUAGAACUAGUAAUAAGAAAUUGCCUUUCUCCUAAUGCAAGCAUAAACCAAAAUGGACCUACCAUUGGUAGUUAACGUAAAUGUCUCUAUUAUAGCAACACUCAACUAGAAAACCCUAUAAUCACUAACGUUAGCCUAACACCAGCGCAUUUCAGGAAAGAUUAAAAGAGAAAGAAGGAACUCGGCAAACCUUAGCCCCGCCUGUUUACCAAAAACAUCGCCUCUUGAUUAAACAUAAGAGGUCCAGCCUGCCCAGUGACAUAGUUUAACGGCCGCGGUACCCUAACCGUGCGAAGGUAGCAUAAUCACUUGUUCUUUAAAUAGGGACUCGUAUCAACGGCAUCACGAGGGCUAUACUGUCUCCUUUCUCCAAUCAAUGAAACUGAUCUCCCCGUGAAGAAGCGGGGAUUAACCUAUAAGACGAGAAGACCCCAUGGAGCUUCAAACUCAACAUAUACCUCUACGCACUUAAACCACUUUAGCCCAAGAGACCUCUAUGUUAGUUUUGGGUUGGGGGGACCGCGGAGUAAAAAUUAACCUCCACGACAAACGGGCUUUAUGCCCUUAUCCACGAACCACAGCUCUAAGAAUCAAUAAACUGAUGUUUAUGACCCGAUUAUUCGAUCAACGAACCAAGUUACCCUGGGGAUAACAGCGCAAUCUACUUCAAGAGCCCCUAUCGACAAGUAGGUUUACGACCUCGAUGUUGGAUCAGGGUAUCCUAGUGGUGCAGCCGCUACUAAUGGUUCGUUUGUUCAACGAUUAAAACCCUACGUGAUCUGAGUUCAGACCGGAGCAAUCCAGGUCGGUUUCUAUCUAUAAAGCGUUUCCCCUAGUACGAAAGGAUCGGGGCAACAUGGCCAAUGUAAAAACAAGCCAUACUCUUCACUAAUGAAUUUAUCUCAAUUAGUUCGGACCUAACACUGCACCGCAGACCAAGGUA
rnacentral:rRNA from 1 species